rnacentral:rRNA from 1 species
AAAACUCCGGUGGUAUGAGAUGGGCCCGCGUCUGAUUAGCUAGUUGGCGGGGUAACGGCCCACCAAGGCGACGAUCAGUAGCCGACCUGAGAGGGUGACCGGCCACAUUGGGACUGAGACACGGCCCAAACUCCUACGGGAGGCAGCAGUGGGGAAUAUUGCACAAUGGGGGAAACCCUGAUGCAGCGACGCCGCGUGAGCGAUGAAGUAUUUCGGUAUGUAAAGCUCUAUCAGCAGGGAAGAAGAUGACGGUACCUGACUAAGAAGCCCCGGCUAACUACGUGCCAGCAGCCGCGGUAAUACGUAGGGGGCAAGCGUUAUCCGGAUUUACUGGGUGUAAAGGGAGCGUAGACGGCGGUGCAAGCCAGAUGUGAAAGCCCGGGGCUCAACCCCGGGACUGCAUUUGGAACUGUAUGGCUGGAGUGUCGGAGAGGCAGGCGGAAUUCCUAGUGUAGCGGUGAAAUGCGUAGAUAUUAGGAGGAACACCAGUGGCGAAGGCGGCCUGCUGGACGAUGACUGACGUUGAGGCUCGAAAGCGUGGGGAGCAAACAGGAUUAGAUACCCUGGUAGUCCACGCCGUAAACGAUGACUACUAGGUGUCGGGCAGCAAAGCUGUUCG